UUCCUUCCUUCCUUCCUCCAAUUUCUCUCUUACUCCUUCUGCCCUCUCUCUUUCAUAUGCCUUAGGUGCAUCCCACAUUCUGCGUUUUUUUGGGGAAAUCCUCGACAGGUGCAGGAAAAUUGUGUUAUUGUAACUAUUUACCGCUAUCUCUCUUUCACGGCUCUCCAUCAGUUGUGAACAUCUAUUGGUUUAUCCCAAGUCACUAAGCAUAUUUUUAUUAGGUACACCUGUUUUUCCUUAUACAGCUGUUUCUGGAGUAUAGGGUCGCAUACUCAUAAACCCAGUGUAACUCAGAACCGCAUCUCAUAUUCCAAUAAACCCAUCAUAACGUUGAAAAAUCAUGAAUCAAACCAUCAUAAGUCACGGUUUGUCCGUGGAUAUGGGUGUCAUCAAUUCCAUUGUAUACAGUAAUGCUGUACACCAUUAACAAUGGCAUACUGAUUGGGAGUGGAUAUUGAUAGCAUUAUAAAAGUCAGUUAUUAGAGGGAUACUUCUUUAACCUCACUGAAGA
rnacentral:lncRNA from 1 species